GACGAACGCUGGCGGCGUGCUUAACACAUGCAAGUCGAGCGGUAAGGCCUUUCGGGGUACACGAGCGGCGAACGGGUGAGUAACACGUGGGUGAUCUGCCCUGCACUUCGGGAUAAGCCUGGGAAACCGGGUCUAAUACCGGAUAUGACCUCCUAUCGCAUGGUGGGUGGUGGAAAGAUUUAUCGGUGCAGGAUGGGCCCGCGGCCUAUCAGCUUGUUGGUGGGGUAAUGGCCUACCAAGGCGACGACGGGUAGCCGACCUGAGAGGGUGACCGGCCACACUGGGACUGAGACACGGCCCAGACUCCUACGGGAGGCAGCAGUGGGGAAUAUUGCACAAUGGGCGAAAGCCUGAUGCAGCGACGCCGCGUGAGGGAUGACGGCCUUCGGGUUGUAAACCUCUUUCAGCAGGGACGAAGCGCAAGUGACGGUACCUGCAGAAGAAGCACCGGCUAACUACGUG
rnacentral:rRNA from 1 species